AACGCACAUUGCGCCCUCUGGUAUUCCAGAGGGCAUGCCUGUUCGAGCGUCAUUUCAACCCUCAAGCCUAGCUUGGUGCUGGGGCAUUACCUGACUGUUUUUUUACAGGAGGGUAAGCCCUGAAAUCUAGUGGCGAGCUCGCCAGGACUCCGAGCGCAGUAGUUAAACCCUCGCUCUGGACAGUACUGGCGCGGCCCUGCCGUAAAACCCCCAACUUCUGAAAAUUUGACCUCGGAUCAGGUAGGAAUACCCGCUGAACUUAA
rnacentral:misc_RNA from 1 species